rnacentral:rRNA from 1 species
UACGGGAGGCAGCAGUGGGGAAUAUUGCACAAUGGGCGCAAGCCUGAUGCAGCCAUGCCGCGUGUAUGAAGAAGGCCUUCGGGUUGUAAAGUACUUUCAGUCGUGAGGAAGGUGUUAAGGUUAAUAACCUUAGCAAUUGACGUUAGCGACAGAAGAAGCACCGGCUAACUCCGUGCCAGCAGCCGCGGUAAUACGGAGGGUGCGAGCGUUAAUCGGAAUUACUGGGCGUAAAGGGCACGCAGGCGGUUAAUUAAGUUGGAUGUGAAAUCCCCGGGCUUAACCUGGGAAUGGCAUUCAAGACUGGUUAGCUAGAGUCUUGUAGAGGGGGUAGAAUUCCGAUGUGUAGCGGUGAAAUGCGUAGAGAUGUGGAGGAAUACCGGUGGCGAAGGCGGCCCCUGGACAAAGACUGACGCUCAUGUGCGAAAGCGUGGGGAGCAAACG